rnacentral:rRNA from 1 species
CAGUAGCCGCGGUAAUACGGAGGGGGCUAGCGUUGUUCGGAAUUACUGGGCGUAAAGCGCACGUAGGCGGCUUGGUAAGUUAGAGGUGAAAGCCUGGAGCUCAACUCCAGAAUUGCCUUUAAGACUGCCGAGCUAGCAGGUGAGAGAGGUAAGUGGAAUUCCGAGUGUAGAGGUGAAAUUCGUAGAUAUUCGGAAGAGCACCAGUGGCGAAGGCGGCUUACUGGCUCAUACUGGACGCUGAGGUGCGAAAGCGUGGGGAGCAAACAGGAUUAGAUACCCCUGUAGUCCCUGUCUCUUAUAC